rnacentral:rRNA from 1 species
CCUACGGGUGGCAGCAGUGGGGAAUAUUGCACAAUGGGCGCAAGCCUGAUGCAGCCAUGCCGCGUGUGUGAAGAAGGCCUUCGGGUUGUAAAGCACUUUCAGCGGGGAGGAAGGCGUUAAGGUUAAUAACCUUGGCGAUUGACGUUACCCGCAGAAGAAGCACCGGCUAACUCCGUGCCAGCAGCCGCGGUAAUACGGAGGUUGCAAGCGUUAAUCGGAAUUACUGGGCGUAAAGCGCGCGCAGGCGGUCUGUCAAGUCGGAUGUGAAAUCCCCGGGCUCAACCUGGGAACUGCAUUCGAAACUGGCAGGCUAGAGUCUUGUAGAGGGGGGUAGAAUUCCAGGUGUAGCGGUGAAAUGCGUAGAGAUCUGGAGGAAUACCGGUGGCGAAGGCGGCCCCCUGGACAAAGACUGACGCUCAGGUGCGAAAGCGUGGGGAGCAAACAGGAUUAGAUACCCGUGUAGUC